rnacentral:rRNA from 1 species
AGGACGAACGCUGGCGGCAUGCCUAACACAUGCAAGUCGAACGAGAAAGUUCCUUCGGGAGCGAUUAAAGUGGCGCACGGGUGAGUAACGCGUAGACAAUCUGCCCUUCAGUCUGGGACAACUUUUCGAAAGGAGAGCUAAUACCGGAUAACAAUGUUUAACAUAAGUUAAGUAUUUGAAAGCUUUAUGUGCUGAAGGAGGGGUCUGCGUCCCAUUAGCUAGUUGGUAAGGUAAAGGCUUACCAAGGCAACGAUGGGUAGCGGGUUUGAGAGGACGAUCCGCCACACUGGAACUGAGACACGGUCCAGACUCCUACGGGAGGCAGCAGUGGGGAAUAUUGCACAAUGGAGGAAACUCUGAUGCAGCAAUGUCGCGUGAGUGAAGAAGGCCCUUGGGUCGUAAAGCUCUUUUAUGGGGGGAAGAUGAUGACGGUACCCCAAGAAUAAGCACCGGCUAACUAUGUGCCAGCAGCCGCGGUAAUACAUAGGGUGCGAGCGUUGUUCGGAAUUACUGGGCGUAAAGGGCGCGCAGGCGGAAUAGUAAGUCGGAGGUGAAAGCCCGGGGCUCAACCCCGGAGGGUCUUUCGAAACUGCUAAUCUAGAGAGGGUCAGGGGCCGGCAGAAUUCCUGGUGUAGAGGUGAAAUUCGUAGAUAUCAGGAGGAAUACCGGUGGCGAAGGCGGCCGGCUGGGGCCACUCUGACGCUGAGGCGCGAAAGCGUGGGGAGCAAACAGGAUUAGAUACCCUGGUAGUCCACGCCGUAAACGAUGAGCACUGGACGUCCGGAGGGUUCGACCCUUCUGGGUGUCUCAGCUAACGCAUUAAGUGCUCCGCCUGGGGAGUACGGUCGCAAGACUAAAACUCAAAGGAAUUGACGGGGGCCCGCACAAGCGGUGGAACAUGUGGUUUAAUUCGAUGCAACGCGAAGAACCUUACCUGGUCUUGACAUCCUCGGACCGCUUCAGAGAUGAAGUUUCCUCUUCGGAGGCCGAGUGACAGGUGCUGCAUGGCUGUCGUCAGCUCGUGUCGUGAGAUGUUGGGKNUAARUCCCGCAACGAGCGCAACCCCYMNNNCCCUUAAUUGCCAUCGGGUUAUGCCGGGCACUUUAGGGGGACUGCCGGUGACAAGCCGGAGGAGGGUGGGGAUGACGUCAAGUCCUCAUGGCCUUUAUGACCAGGGCUACACACGUGUUACAAUGGGAGUUACAGAGGGAAGCUAAGCCGCGAGGCCAUGCCAAUCCCAGAAAAACUUUCUCAGUUCGGAUCGCAGUCUGCAACUCGACUGCGUGAAGCUGGAAUCGCUAGUAAUCGCGGAUCAGCACGCCGCGGUGAAUACGUUCCCGGGCCUUGUACACACCGCCCGUC